rnacentral:rRNA from 1 species
GACGAACGCUGGCGGCGUGCUUAACACAUGCAAGUCGAACGAAGUGGCGAACGGGUGAGUAAUACGUGAGUAACCUGCCCUCCUUUUUGGGAUAAGCCUUGGCAACGGGGUCUAAUACCGAAUAAAGGGGGAUGGGCUCGCGGCCUAUCAGCUUGGUGGUGGGGUGAUGGCCUACCACGGCGGUGACGGGUAGCCGGCCUGAGAGGGUGACAGGCGACAUUGGGGCUGAGAGACGGCCCAGACUCCUACGGGAGGGAGCAGUGGGGGAGAUUGCACAAUGGGCGAAAGCCUGAUGCAGCGACGCGGCGUGGGGGAGGAAGGCUUUCGGGUGGUAAACCUCUUUCGCGAUCGAAAGGGUAGGUGGAGAAGAAGCGCCGGCUAACUACGUGCCAGCAGCCGCGGUAAUUC